rnacentral:lncRNA from 1 species
GGAGUGGAGAGGAGGCGGCAGGCACCCCUGGCUGACACCCAGGGGCGGGCAAAGGUCCGAGGUGAGACCCUGGGCUCGGGAAGCUCAGAGUUGCCCGCAGCAGAGUGAUUAAGCCGAGGCUGGUGGCCGCAGGGGACAGUUGGUGCAGAGCUUGUAAGGUACCGGGGAGGCUGUACUUUGUCCUGGGGGGAUUGCGGAGCCCUGGCAGAGAUUAAAGAAAGGGAGGGACGUGGCCAGGUCUGCACGUGGCAGAGUUCCCCUGGAGAAGACGUGGAAGAUGUGCAGCCCGAGAGCAAGAAGAGAAUGGUCCCAGGAAAAGUCUGGAUUCGGGUUGGGGUGGGAGCAGGGCGGGAGUUGAGCCGCAGAAACAAGAGAGCUUGGUUUCCGCCGAGGCUGAGAAAGACGGAGAAGGUCCGAGCGCAGCCCGGAUCUCAGCCUAGUGGACCGUCAGGGAUGAGGGAGGACGGCUGGAUGAGGCGGCUGGCUGGAUGGCUUGGGGAGGGCCCCCAGGACCUACCCCAUCCGCCCCUGGCAGAAGGACCGGCUGCAGGCCCCUCUGGGGACACUAGAGGGAGCUCCAGGACAGAUUCAAGCUCCACUCUGCCUCAGUCACCCCCGCCACCCCUCCCUGAGGAGAACAGGACCCACCCCAUGCUCAGAUACAGGCUCGGGGUCCUGCUGGGGCCUGGUUGACCUCUAGUGGCUUCAAGGUCUCAGGGCCACCUUACCCUCCAGCCACCGGAUAUGCAUUGGGGAGGGGUCUUGGGGUGUGGACCGUGGGGCAGAGGUAGAGGACUGCAGGUGAGAAGUGCUAUAGCUUUUCCCAGGGAGGAGAGUGUGACUCCCAAGGUCACAUCACUGUCUGGCAGAGCUGAUCCCAGCCAGAUCUGCUGCCCCAGCUGGGGAGGAAGGGACAGAAUGGGCUCUCAAACUGCAGGAAGGUCUAGGGCCUUCCUGACCCUUCCCGGAAAACCUAGGUGAGAGGAGUCUCCCAUGAGCCACCUCCACACACCCUGAGGAAUGUUCUAGGAAUGUUCUAGGUCCUGGUGUGGUGGCGGUUUGGGGAAUGGGGCCGUGUGUAUACAGCUGCUGGGUCUGCAUGGUGCUCUGUAUGUCCUGGAAGUGCUCCAGUUCAGUGGGAGGCUGAGGCCCCUGCCUGUGGAGCUCAGCCUCUCCUCCGUUUGGGGUCAAAGCUGGCCAAAUGGGAUUGGGACUUCAGCUGGGGCUGCAGCCAGGGCUGUCUGAGUGCAGGAUCAUGAAUCAGUCUCUCCCUAGGAUCAGGGUUCAGGCUGGUGUCCUGCCUAAACUGAGCCUGGCUCCUGGUGAAGGUGCUGCUGAGGUCUCCCUAUGGGAAUCGGGUCUUCACUGCUGCAGGAGCGAAGGCACCCACACAUCACUCACCCAGCAGGAGGGCCAACACCCGGUGCCUGGAGCUCAGGAGGGGCUGGGGCUCCAAGGGAGAACCUGCUUCCCACAGCCGGCUCAGUCCAGAAGGGAAGCAGACAUUGAGCAGUGAAUUGCAGUGGAUCCAGAGCCAGCCAUGGAUGGGGGGGGGGGUGCAUUCCAGGCAGAGUUUGCGUCCCAGGCCAGGGAGGAGGGAGGCGGAGGCUGGCACAGCAUCCAGGAAUGGGACAUGUGCCUGAGCACAGAGCUAUAAGGUGGCUCCCAGGCAGCUGGAGAGAAGGGGGACCUCUGGAGGUCCCCAUGCGUCGGGAAGUGGGGUGAGCCUCGGGAGACCUCCUGCAGGCCGGUGGCAGAGUGGAGCAGUUUGACAGUCUCGAGGGACCACUCCAGCGGUGGAGGGAGGAGUGGCGGGAGACCAAUUUUUUGGAAAAGUGAUUGAAGUCUCUGCCUGAGUCUAAAUGGCACACUCUUUUAAAAUUUUAUGAAAACAAAAAAUGAGUAACAAAUGGAGACACGGAAAUAGGAACCCCUUUCCUAUUAAUCCAGAUGGGAAGAGCAGGCCCAGGCCCAGCUAGGCCAAGAGGACUUGACUAACCUGGAGGGAAACGCUCCAGAAGGCCCACAGCGCUCGCUGAAAGCCGACUCCCCAGCUGACCUGAGCACCCCGAAUCUGAGGCCCCCUUGGAUGCCAGUUCCCAUUGCCCAGGAGGAAAACUGAGGCUCAGGGAGUGACAGGAAAGGACCCUGUCUGCACAGUCCCUGCAGGUCCACCGCCACACACUCACCAGACACGCACACAGACGCACGCACGAGCUCGUGAGUACACGCAGCAGCCCCCGCAGCCCCAGUGCACGUGGUUUGAGCAGAGCAGCCCCAGUGCGUGCCUGCACUGGGCACUGUGGCACUGGUCAGCAAGAGGGUCCUGCAGCGGGAGCCCAGCCUCGCCUCUGUGGGGGAACCCCAGACCGCCCAGUGCUGCCCCCUGUGCCAGGCCACAGCCACUGGAGCCCAGGAGGAGCCAGGGUUGGUUGGUUCCUAGUGUGUGACAAGGCAGAUCAGAGGGGCCAGCUGCCACUGUCCUCGCUCCCCAGGGGUGUGUGUGUGUGUGUCUGUGUUUUGCUGAGGAGCAGGGCAGUAGUGUAGGGCCCACAUCAAGUCAGAAGGCGAGGGUUCCUCGGCUCAGUGGUUCCGGGUGCCUGCCUGCCUCCUGUCCUCUGCUGUCUAAUAAGGACCUUUUGUGAAUCAGACAAAACAAGACACAGCCUCUGCCCUCUGGAAGUGCAGUCCCGGGUUGAGCUGUCACCGUACACACGUGACUGUGGCUGGGAGGCCUCAGAGAGGCAGCUUCCAUUCUGGCUGUGGGAUGGUGACUGAUUCAUGGCCUUCUCUGAGCCUCAGUUUCCUCAUCUGGAAAGAGGGGCCAUCCUUUUCCCAACCACUGGUUGGAUUUGCUUUUCGGAUUACAUACGAUGCUGGAUGUGCAAUAUUUUGGGAAGAAAAGGGAACAUGUGAGUUAGAUCAGAGUCAGGUGUCAAUGUCGCUGAUGCUCGGAGGUCCGUGGUAGAGGAGUGUGGAUGAGUUCACAGGCCUAGUCAGAGAGGCCUGGCUGGGUUUAAAUUCCUGCUGUGCCAGGACUAGCUGUUGGAGAUGGAGCAGUCUAUUGAAGCUCUCUGGGCCUCUGUCUUUGAGUCUGUAACAGGGACAUAAUAAUAAUGCACAUUACAUGGGAUGUGCUGCAGGAUAGUGUAUGUAAAACUUUUAACUGGGCCUGCCACAAAGUACAUGCUCAGUUUAGUCAGUUCCUACUGUUAUUUCUAAGUUUUCAGUUAUUCAUUCAGUGAAUGCUUACUGAGCAUUUACUAUGAGGCAGGCACAAUUCUAGGCACUCUCCAAAUUCUCUCAAUCCUUCUAACGACUCUAUUAUUACCCCCAUUUUACAACCAUGCAAACUGAGGCACAGUGAGGUCCAGUCACUUAUUCAAGGUCACACAGCUGGUAGGAAUUGGAACCUAGGUCUGUUGGUCUCUUUAAAUCCAGCUUUGAGUCAUGUACUUCCCCUUUAUAGUUCAAAGUCCUCCCCUCUCCCCAGCAGCAGCCCCUGUUAAAUAAAUCAUCCAGUAACGGUUUCUAAUUCCCAGACUUGGUUGCAAAUGAAUUAUUCACAUUGUAAGGCCUGCAAACCGCAAACUGGGCCUCAUUACCCAAGAAGGCCGCCUGCCCACAAGAUGCCGCUCCCUCCCCUGGGCUCCGGUCCUGGCGGGCCAGUCAGAAGUUGCCAGAGUUGGCGGGCGGGCGCCAGGGCCCAGUCCCUGAGCUCUGCUCCUGGAACUGGGAGGGGGGGUUUCCCUCCCCAUUUCCCAGCCUUUGCUUUCUAACAAGCUCCCAGUCUUAGGUUAAGAGAAGACCUGGGUUCUAGUCCCAGCUCUGCCCUGAGCAGCUGCGUGACCUCAAGCAGGUGGCUUACCCUCUCUGAGCUUCCAAGGCAGGCUAAGCUUGCCCUCACUGGGGCACAGGGCCCCACUUGACACAUUCUCUUCUAUCUGUGGGCUGAGGCUUGUGCCACCUGGCCAGGCCCUGUCCUGGACGCUGAGGAAAAAGCUUCUGUCCAGCAUGUGAAUGAAACUGUGGCAUGAGUCAGAGCCCAGGCCGAUCCUAGAAGGUGCUGUCUCCAGAGAUCCUCUGCAGGGCACAGCUGCUGCGACUGUUGACUGCUGGUUCCUCCCGGAGUUGUGCCCUACUGCCUGGGGCGACCCUUGGCCAGGGACUGACCAGUGUCAGGUGCUACAAACGCCUGCCUCCACCGGAACAAUUGUGAAGGACCAGCCACUCGCAGGGUCCCCACAGGGGCCUCUGGUGCGAGCUCAUUGUGGGUCAGUUUCUCCUGCAUCUCCCCACUGCCUUCCCGGUGGAUCUGCUGCGGGCACAGCCCAGGAAACCCUCAGCUCAGAGGCUGGAGACUCGUCACAGACAGGGCCAGUCCUGGCACUCAAUGAGACCCGAUCCAAAUCACCAGCAGAUUCCUAACUCCCAGGCCGGCUGAGCCUAGUUUCUGCCCCAGCCAAGCCCAGAUCCCAGUCCCAGGUUGAGCCCUGACGUCAGUCACAGGCUGAAUCCAGAUGCUAACUGAUCCCUAAUCUUAUUGCAGACUAAGCGCUGAUCUCGAUCCCAGGCUGAUCUCCAGGCCUGUUCCAAGUUCUGAUCCUGAUCAGAUUGAGCCCAGCGUUCACAGAAAGCAGGGCACCUAUGGAGACCCAUGGAGAUGGGACAGAGGGUGGUAAGUGGGAGACAGGAGGAGCCUGGAGUCCAGGUUAGACUGAGAACAGAACCAGACUAACAGCCCGUCAGCCAGAAGACCAGAGGCCCAGAACUUCAGUUCACAGAGAGGUCUUCUCCAAAAACACCCAAACAGGGGUUUCCUCUUGGUGGAAGAACCAAAAUCUGAACCAAGGAUGGUAAGAAGGCUCCUCAGAGCUGCCAUUCUGGAGCAGGGUGGGUGUCCCAUGCAUUAAGCCACGGUAUUCCUCUGGGUCCCCACUGCCCCUCAGAAUAACCCUGUGGAUUGAAUUAUUACCCAUUUUACAGAAAAGAGAGUUGAGGCUCGAGAAGCAAAUGACCUGCCUCUUGCCUCCGUCGUGGGAGAAUCAGCACUCGGGCCCUUGACCUCCCUGUACUUUGGUGGGGUCUAGGUGCAGGCAGUUACAGUCUCCUGAAGAGAGGCCUAGGGCUUGCAGUCCCUCUGCCACGCGACUUAGCUGUUGGCUAAGUCCUGAGCCUGCCCAAGGCAGGAGAGGAGCCAGGGAAGAGAAAGGUUGGUCCCUGAGACUGUUGAUGUGGCUAGUUCCGGCCCCAGCCCCAGGCAGGGCCUCCCACUCAUAUAAAGUGGUUCCAUCCCCUUCUCCCCCGGCAGGCGCUGGCUAGCAUGGCAGGUGAGGAAACUGAGGUCCAGAAAGGGGAUCCCACUUGUCGGGCUCACAGAGCUGAGACCUGCCCCCAGAACCCCCAUGCUCGGCCUCCCGCCCUGUGUUCCUUCACCUGCACAGGAGAAUGAAGGCCGUCCAUCACCCCUCGUCCAUCCAUCGUCCACCUACCCGCCCCCCGGGUCAGCAGCCGGUCCGUAGCGUCCUCCGUGUGCCAAGUCUGGGCAAAUUCCGCAGGCGGAGUGGAGACCCGAGGCAGAGCCCGUGGACUCUCAGGGGACCCACAGAUUAAACAAACAUGCCGCAGAAAGCAGAAAGAAACGCAUCGCCGAGUGCUGAGAGCCGCCCAGGAUGUAACCAGGCCUCUCCCUCUCGGGGUGCUCCCGGCCCCAGGGAGCUCCAGGCAGAAACCCUGCAGAGAGCACCCAGGGCUUAGCCUCAGGGGACAGGGGCUUCGAGAAAAGCAGGAAUACUCCCCCAGGGAGUCAGGCAGCUUGGUGAGGCUGCAGCCAGGCCACCUGACCACUGCGACCACUGACCACUGCGAGGAGAAGCCCUCCAGGGGGCCUUGUCUGCAGCAGGAGGUGAGAGAGAGGGGGAGAGACAGUGUGCUGUGGGGUCUUUGGCAAGCCUGCCCCUGGAUUCACUUUGUGAGCCAUCCAGCUGGUGCCGGAAGCCUCCAGGAACCGCAUGGGAGCUUUAGGAGAAAUAAUGAGAGUGGUUAUUUCAGGAGGAGGAACAGCGUGAGCAGACGGGUGGAGGUGGGGAACAGCAGGCAGACCCAGGAAGGCGGAGCGAGGAGACAAAACAGAGGAGAGCCCAAAGUCCAGCCCGUGGCGACAUCAUGGCACCCUGGGGAGGCUCUGCUCCCACCACACACCAGUGUGGAUAUCUGCUGCCCGUCACAAGCUGACUGUGUGCCCAGAGAGGCUCACAUGUGUGCCCUCGAUCCAGGAAGAGCAUUACUGUUAGAGCCCAUUUUAUGGCAGGAAAAUCGAGGUCAGGAGAAGUUAGAAUCUGCCUCCCAGGAAGGUGUGAAGUGAAGGAUACAGCCCCAUGGCGUCGGCCACACGGCCCAGCCCCUUCACUCCCCUGCGUGCCCACAAGACAGCCAGAGGAGAUCUGCACAGGUGUCGGCAAGUCCUGUGCAGCUCCACCUGCGGUCUCUCCCACUAAACCGGAGCUCAUUUGCCUCGGUCAUCCCGGGCUCCAACACGGGCCCUAAAUCAGUGCCGAGGACAUCGUGGGGGUAAACCAUCAACAUGGGGCCCCUGCGUGGUUGAUACUGCCUUGUUCCCAUUGCACAGGUGGGAAAAUGGAGUCCCAGAGAGCAACGGGGGAGCUGUAAUUCACCAGGCUACGAGCAUCUAAAUCAAUGAACUAAUUAAUGAGUAAACGAGCGUGAGUAAUGACGAAUGGCUGACCUAGAGGGUGGGAGGGGAGGCCAUUGGAGGAGUGAGAGACUGCAGGGGCACAGCCGGGUGACCGGGAGAGUGAGGUCCUCCUUCCUCCCAUCCGUACCUCGGUCCACCUCCAGCUUCCAGGAAAAAGGCCCCUUUGCUGUCCUCUCAGGGAGAAUCCAGACUCUCUGCCAGGCUGUUGCCUAGCAACAGUGCCCUGCCUGGCCAGCCCCGCCCUCUCAGUGGGCCAGGGCCAGGGUGCGCAGCCAACCCGGGGGCCUGGCCACUGGCAGGCAGGGAACGGGGGACCCGGGCUCCCAAGCUGAGGACAAGGAUGUCAGAGAUCGGGGAGGAGGCUGGGGUGGGCCUGAGGCCGGGCCAGGACCCCCCGAGGAAAGACCACGUGGAGCAGCCGUGACUCUGGCACAGGUCCCGGAACAGGGAGGGCGGAUGCAGGAUCCCACAGGCCUUGAGUCUCAAGUCCUGGGUUUGAGUGGACCCUGGAGCAGUCACUUCCCUCCACGGCCGGCGUGAGGAGGGAAGGCGCACAGCGGGCUUGGAGCAAGCAGGCUGCUUUCAUAAGCAACGAGGGGACAGGACGAUGUGCCCGCAGCCCUGGGUCUGCAGGGCCCCUGGGGAGCAGCCCCUCUCCGGCCAGGCCCUGAAGGACUUCUCCAGGUGGAAAUGGGGUGAGGAGAGGGGCAAUUCCUGGCGGAGGGAACAACCCCAGCGAAGGCUGGGAGCCUGAAGCUGAAGUGCAUCUCAUAAUACCUCAUGUUUGCGAAUGGCCAGGCACAUUUGCAUUGAACCCUCACCGCAGGCCACGAGGCUGGAACGUGUGCUCCCAUUUUGCAGGAAAGGGAGUGUGGGCUCAGAGACCAGCAGGGGUACUGGGGGUCACACAGCAGGUGAGCCAACUCCAGCUGCCUUUCCCCUGAAUUCCUCACAGGAAGAAGAGGCUCACCUAGGGGGAGCAAGAGUGAGAAAUGUGGCCACACAGUGUGCAGGGACACCCUGUGUGCGACUGGAAGCACGGUGAAUUUCGAAAUCUGGGCAGGGGCAAUGGGGAGCCACUGAUGGUUUCUGAGCUGGGAGAGGAUGGCCCAGGCCAGGUCCUCAGGUCCCUCGGUGCUGCCCCGGGGCCAUCUGUCUCCACCUCCUACACUCUGCCACUCUUUGCAUCCAUGUCCCCCACCCUCCGCCCCCACUGCCUCUCAGCCACUGUGAGGAACCAUGUGUGACGGUGGAGAAUGUAAAAAUAUACGAAAAACAACAAGGGCGACUGCGCUCGGCUAUAAAUACCCUGACGGCGGAAUCGCUCCUCCAGUCCCCUUCCUGCUGCCUGAGGAGCGGGGGCUUGGUGUUCGGCAGGUGGAGAGGGGGACUCAGGAAGGGAGGAAGGAACGGGAAUGACCGCUUGCAGACCUACUUUGUGCCAAGCGCUUUGCAAGCCUUGUCCUCACGAAACCCUGACAGUGACUCACUCCUGAUCCCCUCUUUACAGAUAAGGAAACUGAAGCACGAGAAGUAGGUCAUCUGGCCAAGGCCACUCAGUCACACGGCCUGGGAGGGAGCCGGGCAGCUGGAGCUCCUGCAAGCUCCGCCUGGCGGGAGAGGCCAAGUCGGCCUCCGGCCAGCUCUGCAAGCAGAGGAGGCCGCCUGGGGUCCCUCCAAGGUCCGAGAGGGCCCACGGUCCCAGGUGCCCGCGGCUUCCACCCCUUCCAUGGCUCCCCAUCGCCCUGGGCCAAAGGACAUGCUCCUGGGUGCGGCCCUGGGGUGCUGUGGUCUGCCCUCUGCCCACGUCCCUGUGGGUGCCCGGGUCUCUGAGCCACGGCCACGUGGACCCUCUAAGGGGAGCUUCACAGGACUGAGCCUCUCUCUGUCGGUCCUUGCCACUUCAUUUUCCGGGGCUAGGUCACCCUUGGUGCCACCUCCUCAGGGAAGACACCAGGCUUCCUCCACUGCCCUGAGGGCCCUCCCCCAGGACCCCAGGCCCGGUCCCAAUCUUGAGGGCUUCUCAGUGGCCAGGGGAGGAAAGUGCCUCCUCUGGUGAGUGACCAGGGCUGUGGUGGCAGCAGUGUGACCUGGCCUUGGAGACCGGCUGGAGGUGUGGGGUGCAGGGCCCUGGAGGGGAGUCAGCACUGGGGCGCUGGGAAGAGGAAAGAAAAUGGAGGCGGGAGGGACAGGAAGGGACUCCUGGGGCCCCUGCUGGGGGACGCACAGGGUGCUGACUGAGGACAGAAAUGAACUGGCUCCAUCUCUGGGCCUUCAUCCUGCUCCCGGCCCAUUCCCCCUCUGGCCAGGGGGCUGAAAGGCGAGUGGGAGGUUGUUCCCUUCAGGCCGUCCCCCCCCCCACCCCAGGGCCAGCGCAGCCCACGGAAAGAUCGCGGGAGCCGCUGGAGCAAGUUGGAAUUUUAACUUUCCAGGAGUCCCUUUUUAAAAAAAUAAAGGAAAAGCAAAUUGAAGUUAGUUUUAACAUUUUAUUUAACCCAAUAUGCUCCAAAUAUUCUUUCUAUAUAUGAUCAAGAUAAAAAAUUAUUGAGACAUGUUCCUUUCUUUUUUUUUUAAUACUAAGUCUUCUAGAUCCAGUGUGUGUUUUACACUGACCACCCUCAGUGUGGAGCAGCUGUGGGUCCACUGCCCAGUAGCCACGUGGCCAGCAGCUGCUGUACUGGACCGCACGGCUCUGGAUGUGAAGCCCCUGAGAGUCAGGACUGUGAUGAGACCCACCAUUAUGAUCUCCAGGGUCUGGUGCAUAGGGGAUGGUCAGGAGGUGUUUGUUGAUUGACUGACUGAAUGAAUCAAUGUCCAAGAUCUUAAAGGACCUAAAGGGAGGCUGUCAACUCAGGCCAUGGGAAGAGCGUGGAGAUGAGUCUAGUCUCACAUUCGUCUCCAAUUCUCUGAGUCCUGCCCCUCCCCAGACCACAGUUCCCCCAUCUGGGUUGGAUGUGGUGACUUCUCUGAGCUCUCUCUAGAGGAAUGUCCCCUCAGUGUCCCUGCCCUGCUCCACCUCACGACCCUGUCCUCCCUCUCCCUGUGUGUGAGACGAGGUCUCUGGAAAGGCCCCGGGUGACCUUCUGUACAGAGGGGACCAGACCCCACAGGGGGAAGCUGAGGAAGAGCAGCUGCCACACACGGCCUGGGCACAGGGAACGAGGACCUGUGGGUGCUGACACCUCCGUCACCCCACACCCCACAGGGGUCCAGAGCUGGGAGGAGAGUGGGGCCGGCUUGUCGCUCUGAUUCUGCAGGAGUGAAACAGGAGGGCCAAGGGGCCAGAGAGCAGGUCCCGGGGCAGGAGAGGACUGACCCUUUGCCUGGGAACCCUGUUUUCCUCCUCCAAAGUCUGGGUACAAAACCUGGCUUCUUCCUGUCAGCGCCUCGAAUCCAGGUUCCGCUACCUAACAGCCCGCUGGCCUUGGAAAGACGCUUUACUUAGCCUCAGUGGCCUUAUUUGUUCAAGGGAUCCUAAUAUCAGCAACCACAGGAAUCUCUGAGCCCUUGAAACGUGUCCCCACACAGGAGCCCACGGGGUGCCUGGGACACGGUCAGGGCACCUUGAGGCCAUCGUGAACUCCAG